GCGGGAGUAGCUCAGUUGGUAGAGCACGACCUUGCCAAGGUCGGGGUCGCGAGUUCGAACCUCGUCUCCCGCU
rnacentral:tRNA from 1 species